GGCGUGUUGGCAGAGUGGCUUAAUGCAACGGUCUUGAAAACCGUCGAGGUGAAAACCUCCGUGGGUUCAAAUCCUACACACGCCG
rnacentral:tRNA from 1 species